UUGAACCGCCCUUCGCGCGGUGUUUCGGCCGUGCCCGA
rnacentral:antisense_RNA from 1 species